rnacentral:rRNA from 1 species
AUUGGAGGGCAAGUCUGGUGCCAGCAGCCGCGGUAAUUCCAGCUCCAAUAGCGUAUAUUAAAGUUGUUGCAGUUAAAAAGCUCGUAGUUGGAUUUCUGUUAAUAAUUUAUAUAAAAUAUUUUGAAUAUUUAUAUAACAUUAACAUAAUUCAUAUUACUAUAUUUUUUAGUAUAUGAAAUUUUACUUUGAGAAAAUUAGAGUGCUUAAAGCAGGCAUAUGCCUUGAAUACUCCAGCAUGGAAUAAUAUUAAAGAUUUUUAUCUUUUUUAUUGGUUCUAAGAUAAGAAUAAUGAUUAAUAGGGACAGUUGGGGGCAUUUGUAUUUAACAGUCAGAGGUGAAAUUCUUAGAUUUGUUAAAGACAAACUAAUGCGAAAGCAUUUGCCAAGGAUGUUUUCAUUAAUCAAGAACGAAAGUUAGGGGAUCGAAGACGAUCAGAUACCGUCGUAGUCUUAACCAUAAACUAUGCCAACUAGAGAUUGGAGGUUGUUCCUUACUCCUUCAGCACCUUA